ensembl:lincRNA
ACCAGUACUAACAGAAGCUGCAGAAUCAAGUGCUAUUGGUCCUGCUAUUUACACUAAAAUGGGUAACCCCAGUGUGAGUGACGGCGAAGUCCUUUCAAACCCAGAGGUUAAAAUCUUACUUCCUUUCUUACACUCCUUUUCAUCUUUGCUUCGGUGUAAAAUCUGCAUGACUUAUUAUGCCAUUGUUGAACUGCUCUCUGACCUCAUUAACAUUCUUAUCUCCCAGAAAAAAAAAAAUGUUACAAGAGACCUGUCUGGUUAUUAUCUCUGCCACCUAAGACUUAAAGCUUCACUAUAAUUUCCAAAUACAUCUACCUUGAAAUAUCUAAGCUUACGUGUCUCAGCUACUUCCCCAAGUAUGCUGAAUUCUAACGGUAGAGAUUCACUAAACCUAUUUUCUUUUUCACACUUCAUAAUCCCUGGUACAGGAAAUGGCUCAAAGCACUAAAUUCGAUUUGUUUUUCAAAAAACAACAAAGCCAUAAAAUUCUAGAACAGUAACACUCAAUCUUAGGAUAUACAACAGGAUACAGCUACAGAUAAGAGCUCUUGGUUUAUUCCGGUGUUUCAAUAGGAACACAGACACACGCGUGCGUAAACACACACACACAUGGUGGGAGAGAUGGAGCAGUUCUUGCCCCCUCGGACUACGAAGUGGAAGCUGCAUGCUCCCAGCCUGCACAUGGCGAGCAUGGAGGUUCCUGAUGCUUGUGGAGCUCCUACAGCCUCACUGGGCUCACUUCACAUCUAAAUGUUCACCAAACGUAGCUACAGAUGCUGUUGCAAAAUGAGGCAAGAGUGAGUUCUGCCAAGAGCAAUGUCCAUCAUGCAAAAUGCCUACUACCUAGGAGCUUUCAGAAGAAAUAAUCUAGGAAGUGUCAUCACUCCAGGCCACGGUGGCAUUCGUGAAUGGGAAACAAUGUUUGGAAAGUGUGCCGUUUUGACAUCAGUGUGGCUCUGGCAACGUUGGAUGGAUGAGAUGAGUAGGAAUCAGUGUGAAGUCCGCAUUACAACAUGCUUGGAUUCAGUUAUGCCAAUGGUAAUGGAAAGAAAGAGGAAAGAUUUCAGAGAAGUAUGCAAAGAAAAAAAAGAAACAAAUUGUCAAUAGAUAGAAUAAAAGAAAAGAUAAAAUCUAAAAAUGUUCUUGAUGUUUCAUGCCUGCGUGACUGAAAAAAAAAGUGCUACUAUUUAGAAGUAUGCAGAUAUCAUUAAGAACAUUUGGGGGCAAAAAG